rnacentral:lncRNA from 1 species
UUUUGGGGCCUAAUACAUAAGGUUGCACCGGCCAAUACCUUCAAGUCACGGUUUCGACAUUUCCUCUUGCCCUUUUUUUGGAGAUCCUUAUGACAAAAAUAACACUAAAUCAAGUUUAUGUUCCCAAACUAUCAGUCAAAAGUCACAAAAAUAACACUUAGUGUUUUAUCAAAAGUCACAAACUUAAGUUUAGAGUUAAAGGGUGGGGUUUAGGAUCUAGGGUUUAGGGUUUAGGGUUUAGGGUUUAGGGUUUAGGGUUUAGGGUUUAGGGUUUAGGGUUUAGAGUUUAGGGUUUAGGGUUUAGGGUUUAGGGUUUAGGGUUUAGGGUUUAGGGUUUAGAGUUGAAAAAUGAGGUUUUGGGGAUAAGAUUUCAAAUUUUGAAAAAUAAAAAAAUUAAAAUUUUCAAAGGAUAAACUUAGAAAUGUGCUAUUUUGGUCAUUUUAGUUUUUGAGUGCUAUUUUUGUUAUAUAAACAUAGAAAAGUGCUAUUUUGGAGAUUUACCUUUCCUUAUACAUGGAUCAAUUUUAUUAUUUUGUUAAUCAAACUAGACAUGGCAAAUUAAAAACCAAACCAAAUUACAAAAGUAAACCAAAAAGAAGAAUAAAUAUUUUUAUAUUUC